rnacentral:rRNA from 1 species
CCUACGGGUGACAGCAGUGAGGAAUAUUGGGCAAUGGGGGCAACCCUGACCCAGCCAUGCCGCGUGAGUGAAGAAGGUCUUCGGAUUGUAAAGCUCUUUCGGACGUGACGAUGAUGACGGUAGCGUCUAAAGAAGCACCGGCAAACUUCGUGCCAGCAGCCGCGGUAAUACGAAGGGUGCGAGCGUUGUUCGGAAUUACUGGGCGUAAAGGGAGUGUAGGCGGGCUGUUAAGUCAGCGGUAAAAGCCCGGGGCUCAACCCCGGCGAGCCGUUGAAACUGGCUGUCUUGAGAUGUCGAGAGGUAUGCGGAAGGCGCAGUGUAGCGGUGAAAUGCUUAGAUAUUGCGCAGAACUCCGAUUGCGAAGGCAGCAUACCGGCGGCGAUCUGACGCUGAGGCACGAAAGCGUGGGUAUCGAACAGGAUUAGAUACCCCUGUAGUC